ACCUGCAGAGUAGAGGCGUGUCCUCGUCUGGUGUUUACAUUCUGUCUACGACGGUGAGAAUCAGCUGAUCGUCGAUUUCAACCUUCAAGUAUGUGUGUGUGUCUGUUUGUUUUUGUGCGUUUACACACGUACGAGCAUUUGUGCGAGCACUUUGCCAUCUCGCACAAUCCUAAAUCCACGUCUGUGUCCACACACACACACACACACACACACACACACACACACACACACACUCUCUGUCUUACACUCACACACUAAAGCCUGAUCUGUGCAGUAAAGAGUUAAACCUGAUCCUGAGUUUAGGACGAGAGUCUGACUUUGAGUUCAGCUGAAGAGAUCAUGACUGACAGGUGUGUAAAGGUGUGUCUGUAGGCGUGUGUGUAGUUGUGUGUGUAGUUGUGUGUAUGUGUGUAGUUGUGUGUAUGUGUGUAUUUGUGUGUAGUUGUGCGUAUGUGUGUAUGUGUGUAUUUGUGUGUAGUUGUGUGUGUAGUUGUGCGUAUGUGUGUAGUUGUGUGUAGUUGUCUGUGGUUGUGCGUAGGCGUGUGUAGUUGUGUGUAGUUGUGUGUUGUUGUCUGUGGUUGUGCGUAGGUGUGUGUAGUUGUGUGUAGGUGUGUGUAGUUGUGUGUGUAGUUGUGCGUAUGUGUGCAGUUGUGUGUAGUUGUCUGUG